AAACAAGAAACAAAAAUUUUGUAUUUAAUUUCGACUUAAAAUAUUGGUAGGAUCUUUCUGCCCUUGUUUG
rnacentral:tRNA from 1 species